UCGGAUCCGGUCCAGUGGAUUGGAGCCAUGCAAACGGGCUUUUGCCCAAGUUAAAGCAGCUUCAUGUCAGGACCUGCUUUUCCAUUUACCUGAUUUUGCUCUCCCUUUUGUCUUGCAGACUGUCAGCUAGAGGGCUGGGGGCUAUUUUGUCCCAGGUAGUGGAGGGGGAGGAGUUCCCUGUACACUGCUGUACAUCAGCUGCAAGCUAUUGGUGCAGGAGAAGAGAAGCCAGAAAUCAGAGAGAAAGCUGAGCUACCCAGCAGGGGGUUGAGAAAAUUGGAGAGAAAAAUAAAGUUGCUGAAAUGUGAUCUCUAAAAUAAAGUGCACUUUGAGUUGUCAA